AGUCGAGGGGUAUAGGCUUUCGGGCCUAGAGACCGGCGCACGGGUGCGUAACGCGUAUGCAAUCUACCUUUCACAGAGGGAUAGCCCAGAGAAAUUUGGAUUAAUACCUCAUGGUAUAUAGGAGUGGCAUCACUUUUAUAUUAAAGUCACGACGGUGAAAGAUGAGCAUGCGUCCCAUUAGCUAGUUGGUAAGGUAACGGCUUACCAAGGCGACGAUGGGUAGGGGUCCUGAGAGGGAGAUCCCCCACACUGGUACUGAGACACGGACCAGACUCCUACGGGAGGCAGCAGUGAGGAAUAUUGGUCAAUGGGCGCAAGCCUGAACCAGCCAUGCCGCGUGCAGGAUGAAGCAUCUAUGGUGUGUAAACUGCUUUUGUACGGGAAGAAACAGAGGUUCGUGAACCUCCUUGACGGUACCGUAAGAAUAAGGAUCGGCUAACUCCGUGCCAGCAGCCGCGGUAAUACGGAGGAUCCAAGCGUUAUCCGGAAUCAUUGGGUUUAAAGGGUCCGUAGGCGGUUUAGUAAGUCAGUGGUGAAAGCCCAUCGCUCAACGGUGGAACGGCCAUUGAUACUGCUAGACUUGAAUUAUUAGGAAGUAACUAGAAUAUGUAGUGUAGCGGUGAAAUGCUUAGAUAUUACAUGGAAUACCAAUUGCGAAGGCAGGUUACUACUAAUGGAUUGACGCUGAUGGACGAAAGCGUGGGUAGCGAACAGGAUUAGAUACCCUGGUAGUCCACGCCGUAAACGAUGGAUACUAGCUGUUCGGAGNCAUCUGAGUGGCUAAGCGAAAGUGAUAAGUAUCCCACCUGGGGAGUACGGGCGCAAGCCUGA
rnacentral:rRNA from 1 species